rnacentral:lncRNA from 1 species
UAGGAAUGUAAACUAUAUACAUUUUUAUGGGAAUGUCAAAUGUUAUAUUAUGGAUGAAGUUGUGGAUUUGUGUUGUUUGAUUGUAAAUAGCAUGAAAUAUAUAUUUAUAUAUAUAGCAGAAAAAUAUGAGCAGGAAAUUAGUAUUUGAAAUUAUAUUUUUUUAAUGCUAUCCCUAUUUCACACGAAAUAGUGUGAAUUAAAGUAGACAAAAUUGACACAUUCAUCCGUGAAUAAGUUACCUCACAGAUUUAGGUGAAUGAAAUUUUACACAGUUAUCUGUGUGAAUAGAUCCUACCAAUUCGCACAGACAUCCGUGUGAAUUACAAAGUUGUUCUCACUGAAUAAGUUCUCAUAAAACAAUCACGUUUUCUGGAUAUGUGAUGGGGCCCACGUCAACUAUUAGCACGGACAUUUUUAUCUGUGUGUGUUGAGCAUUAGCCCCCCCCCCCCUCCCUGCAAACAGCACGGAUAGGCAUUUCGUGAGUGUAGCGUGACUAAUGGCUUUCUCACACGGAUGUCUGUGUGAGAUAUCUAUAUUUCACAUUGAUUUAAUUCUGUGUGAAGCUUCAUUUAAUUUUGUGUGAUAUCUAUAUUUCACACUGAUUUAAAUCUGUGUGAAGCUUCGUUUUGCUAGUAGUGUGACGUGCCUCCCUAUCCCUGCUGGGUUGAAUGACUUAAUUCAAUUCUUAGAAGUACAGGUAAAUAUUAGUGUUGAUCACAGUCUUUAUAUUUAGUCUUGUAGUGCAAGAAAGGAUUUAAGAGUAUAUGCAGAUGUUUCAGGGAUCUUAAUAAUAUACGGUUCAUAUUAAAAAAAAACAAGACAAGACGGGUCAACUUUUAGAUAGUAAAAUAGCUAAACUUGGAAACCCAAGUGGUCUGAGAUGAAAAUAGGAACCGCUAAAGAUAUAAAACAGUGACACAAGGUUAUUCUUAUAUUAAAGUGAUAUCCCAGCUCCACACUAACAUCAAAAUAAAAAAACUGCAUCAAGCUAGUUAUUAUGCUAAUAAAAUUUAACAUCUUUAAGCUUAGUCAAAAGGAUUGAGUACUGGAACUCCGUGCAUAUAGGCGAAAAUACGAAUCUUGUCGUCCUCCGGAGAAUAGCGCCGUGCAACUACUUCGAUACUUCCCUUCCAUCCCUCACUGCGAAGGAUUUUAACUGUGAAGAGAUCUACUAGAGCUUCAACCUUGAUGACGUCUAGGGCCAUGAGGUGUUGUUUGUGAGUCUCCAGGGCAACUCGGGAUGCAUGGAGAUCUUCCUCAGUUUCGUCAGUGAGAUGAUGUCGUCUAAUAUUAGAGAACUCAAUCAUGAACCUUCUCAAGCGUUUGAGUGAGUCCAUCUCCAUAGUUAGAGAAUCUGCACUUUACAAAAAUCUCGUUUAUGAUUUAGCAAGAGAAAUUUCAGAAUAGAGAGUAGAGUAUCAGAGAUGUAUCUUAUUCAUUGAUAGGAUCUUAUAUAUAAAGGAUUACAGAGUAUCAAUAUGACGAAGACAAAAAAUACAUAGUACUAUUCUAACUACAUAUCUUAAUUAAAUAAAGAUACAUGAUCCUAUUUUAACUACGUAUUCUAAUAAAAUAAAUUCAAAUCAAUCAAGGAUACAUGAAUGAGAAUAAGAUCGAUCCAGAACUUAAAAACUAGUCAACUCCGUGCAUAUAUGCGAAAAUACGAAUCUGAGAGAGAAGCACAACUUCGAUGAGCUGAGGGAGGAGAUCAAUCGCCAGACUAUUCAGGCGCAGAGUGACAUUGAGGCUCUGAAGAAGCAGCUGGAGGAGGCCAAGAUUGUGAGGCGGCAUAAGGAGGAGUGCGAGGCCAUUCGGCGGUUGAUUGCGAUGCAGCCGCCGCGGUCUCAGACGCUGAAGAUCAUUUCGGAUUUGGAGAAGGAGAUUGCGGCGUUGGAUUCGGAGAACACAGCCAGUUCGAGGAUGCUGGAGCUUCGGAAGAAGCAGUUUGCUCUGCUCUUACAUGUGGUAUGUUGCUCUGUGAUGGUGCAUUGUGUUGCGAAAGCGAAUUCGGAGUGAGAUUAGGUGUGACUCUUGUGGUUUUGUGUGCAGGUGGAUGAGUUGCAGACUACGAUAGAGGAAGAGCAGAAGAGUUUAAUUGAGGAGAAGGAGCAGAGAAGUGUGAUGGAGUUUGCAAAUGGAGGACCGGAACCAAUGCAUGUUGAUUGAGGGUGUACAAUGCAUCUCGGAUUUGUAAUUGUAAGAUUCUAUGCCUCAUAUAUUCUAUUGAUGCAAUGGUUUCGGUCUUGAUUGGUAUAAGAGAGUAUGGAUCAGCAACUUGUAGGAUCUCUUGAGCAUCUGGCUCAGAAGAGAAUGGCUAGAAGUUUCGUCUUGGUACUAGCUCCUAUGUAGUUCACGUUUUUAAGCUUUUCUAUUGCUUGUUUAGCAUUUGUAUGCAUCACAUUAUACAGUAACAUUAUGGUUAUCAUUUAGAUGAUUAUGAGAGUUGGAGAAUGCACAUGAUUCGGUAUCAAGUACAUGCUUAUGCGUUUAAAGACCGUGUACUGUUGCUGUUGCCCCUUUACUUAGACUGCGAGAUAAUACUCUUCUCAUGUAAAAGAACAUAUAUCUAAUGUUUGUUAGCAAGCCAAAAGGAUUUUAUCCCCUACUAGGGUUUAGUGCAAUGGUCAGCCCCAUAUUUCAGAUCUGUUAUCUGGGGUGCAAACCCCCCUCAGUUAUCCACCUUGUUAUUUGCUAAAGUUUCUUGCCGCUUAAAGAUUGUAGGGUUUGGCAGGAGGCCCAGUUUUAAACCGUAUAUGGAAUAUGGGGUUGAGGGUUUCUGGUCUCAAAGGAAUGUGUUUGUAUAAUAUAUAUGUUCAUAUGUUGUUUCUUUUCACACACACACACACAUUCAUAUGUCUAUCUAUAUUAAAGGUAUGAUAAAAGGAUGAAUAUUAUUUGUUAAAUAACCCUGUUUCUAUAAUUUCAUUAGAUGAUAAGGUUCCACUAUUGUUAGAAGAGGUUAAUGGAAAGAGUAUAUUUUGUAAAAUAAUGCUAGAUUUCUUUUCAAUUUCAUCUCCCUUGAUCGAGUAAAGUAGGACUUGUUCUUCAAGCUGCGGUGUUCAAAAUAUGAUAGGCCAGUUGACUCCAUGUUACAUAUAUAUAUAUAUAUAUAUAUAUAUAUAUAUAUAUAUAUCAAUCUACGGGCUAGAUCCAUAGUUGACUUCCUGUUACAUCAAAAAUAAACUAGUAUUAUUUCGACUCCCUAUUUAUCUACAUCUAUCUCUUUCUAUUCUGAAGGCACCAGAUGGGAUUCAAUAGUUGACUCUUAUGUUGAGAGAUUACACCCCAAGGUUACCCUCUGGAGUUGACCAGUUGAAUUUAGUUCAGUGUAACAUUUUCUUUGUUUUUCAAAAGGAACAGCUUUUUAUUGAUACAAAGAGCACAAGGAGGCGGACAAGGAGUCCACUUUAGAUGGCAAGAGGGUAGCUAAGAACAGAGGCUUAGCAGCUUAUCUGUUAAGGAGUAGUCUGGAAUACACCCGGUAGUUUUGAGCCGAACCGGCUUAGAUAGCGCGCUGCAGACGUGGGAGACUGUAAACCACAUGUCGGAGCCGUCAAGCUUUUCUGUCUGUUGACCGUGAAAUGCAAACAAAAGUGAAAAAAAACGCAGAAGCCGGCGUGAAAAGGGUAGGAGGGUAUUUGCAAAGGUCGCACCCCCCUAAAUUAGGUUGGUAUCCCCCCUUAUUUUGGUGGUUUUGGGAGGGUUGGAUUGCGAUUUGUAGUAGACUGAGCAAUGAGGGCUGAACAGUGAAGAAGUAAACCAGAUCGAGUGAAAUGGUUGAUUGAGCGGGGUGACCGAAAGGGAGUGAGAAGAUCGAAGCAAGUGAGUGUUGUGGGCGUCAUCAUCGGAAAAACUAUUUCGUCUUCGUCGUCCUCUCCAUCUGGUAGUUAUGUUUGUUUUGGUUUGUUGGGUUCUGCUUUUUACAGUGAAGACUAUGUUUUGCGUGUUUAUUAGCUUGGUUGUUUAAUUUUGCUUGGAAUUGGGGUGUUUUGUAUAUUGACGUUUGAAUUUGCUGGUUGCAAAUUUUGGUGCUUUAUGAUUAGCAAGUGAGAAUUGUGGUUUUUGAUAGUCAUGGUUUAUGAAUCAUGCGGAAAUAUGGAUGCAGUUGUUGUAUCUGUUUCUGAAUGGAAGUGUGGAGACUUUUUGCUAUCUUUCACGGCACCCAUAUUUCACUUUGCAUAUACAUAAAUUAGCUUGUAGAGUUGAUAUGUAGUACAAAUCCUUGUUGAAACCGAAUUGUAGUUUCAUGUAGUACUUGGUUUGAUCCUAACAAN